GCUCCUGUGGCCUAGUGGUUAAAGUGUUAGCCUCAGAUUGGGAGGUCGUGGGUUCAAACCCCGCUGGGUGGGACA